UACGAAGGGUGCAAGCGUUACUCGGAAUUACUGGGCGUAAAGGGUGCGUAGGUGGUUGUUUAAGUCUGCUGUGAAAGCCCCGGGCUCAACCUGGGAAUGGCAGUGGAUACUGGACAGCUAGAGUGCGGUAGAGGGUAGUGGAAUUCCCGGUGUAGCAGUGAAAUGCGUAGAGAUCGGGAGGAACACCAGUGGCGAAGGCGGCUACCUGGACCAGCACUGACACUGAAGCGCGAAAGCAUGGGGAGCGAACGGG
rnacentral:rRNA from 1 species